rnacentral:rRNA from 1 species
GAUGAACGUUGGCGGUGUGCCUAAUACAUGCAAGUCGAACGGAGAUUGUAGCAAUACGGUCUUAGUGGCAGACGGGUGAGUAACGCGUGGGAAUAUGCCCUUUAGUUCGGAAUAACUCAGGGAAACUUGAGCUAAUACCGGAUAAGCCCUACGGGGGAAAGAUUUAUCGCUAAAGGAGUAGCCCGCGUCUGAUUAGCUAGUUGGUGAGGUAAUGGCUCACCAAGGCGACGAUCAGUAGCUGGUCUGAGAGGAUGAUCAGCCACACUGGGACUGAGACACGGCCCAGACUCCUACGGGAGGCAGCAGUGGGGAAUAUUGGACAAUGGGGGCAACCCUGAUCCAGCCAUGCCGCGUGAGUGAUGAAGGCCUUAGGGUUGUAAAGCUCUUUUGUCCGGGAAGAUAAUGACUGUACCGGAAGAAUAAGCCCCGGCUAACUUCGUG